rnacentral:tRNA from 1 species
GAGGGUGUAGCUCAGUGUAGAGUGUGUGCCUACCAUGAGUGAGGUUCUGGGUUCAACCCCCAGUACCUCCA